rnacentral:tRNA from 1 species
GCCCGCCUAGCUCAAUCGGAUAGAGCGUCAGACUCUUAUCCAACUAGUGCGGACAAUCUGAAGGCUGGGGGUUCGACCCCCCCGGUGGGCU